rnacentral:rRNA from 1 species
ACCUGGCGGCGAGUGGCGAACGGGUGAGUAAUAUAUCGGAACGUACCCAAGAGUGGGGGAUAACGUAGCGAAAGUUACGCUAAUACCGCAUACGAUCUAAGGAUGAAAGCAGGGGAUCUUCGGACCUUGUGCUCCUGGAGCGGCCGAUAUCUGAUUAGCUAGUUGGUGAGGUAAAGGCUCACCAAGGCCACGAUCAGUAGCUGGUCUGAGAGGACGACCAGCCACACUGGAACUGAGACACGGUCCAGACUCCUACGGGAGGCAGCAGUGGGGAAUUUUGGACAAUGGGCGAAAGCCUGAUCCAGCAAUGCCGCGUGAGUGAAGAAGGCCUUCGGGUUGUAAAGCUCUUUUGUCAGGGAAGAAACGGUGAGGGCUAAUAUCCCUCGCUAAUGACGGUACCUGAAGAAUAAGCACCGGCUAACUACGUGCCAGCAGCCGCGGUAAUACGUAGGGUGCAAGCGUUAAUCGGAAUUACUGGGCGUAAAGCGUGCGCAGGCGGUUUUGUAAGUCUGACGUGAAAUCCCCGGGCUCAACCUGGGAAUUGCGUUGGAGACUGCAAGGCUAGAAUCUGGCAGAGGGGGGUAGAAUUCCACGUGUAGCAGUGAAAUGCGUAGAGAUGUGGAGGAACACCGAUGGCGAAGGCAGCCCCCUGGGUCAAGAUUGACGCUCAUGCACGAAAGCGUGGGGAGCAAACAGGAUUAGAUACCCUGGUAGUCCACGCCCUAAACGAUGUCUACUAGUUGUCGGGUUUUAAUUAACUUGGUAACGCAGCUAACGCGUGAAGUAGACCGCCUGGGGAGUACGGUCGCAAGAUUAAAACUCAAAGGAAUUGACGGGGACCCGCACAAGCGGUGGAUGAUGUGGAUUAAUUCGAUGCAACGCGAAAAACCUUACCUACCCUUGACAUGUACGGAAGACCGAAGAGAUUUGGUUGUGCUCGAAAGAGAACCGUAACACAGGUGCUGCAUGGCUGUCGUCAGCUCGUGUCGUGNNAUGUUGGGUUAAGUCCCGCAACGAGG